UUUCCGUAGGUGAACCUGCGGAAGGAUCAUUAUUGUAUAACCGAGGUGCGAGGGCUGUCGCUGACCCGAAAGGUCGUGCACGCCCGAGUGCCCUCACACCCUUCCAUCUCACCCCUAUGUGCACCACCGCGUGGGUCCCCCUUUGGCUUUUUCGGAGGGGGGCUUACGUUUUCACACAAACUUUGUAUGCAGUGUAGAAUGUAUUUUUUGUUUUUGCGAUCACGCAAUCAAUACAACUUUCAACAACGGAUCUCUUGGCUCUC
rnacentral:misc_RNA from 1 species